GACGAACCGUCCAAACGUUAUUCGGAAUCACUGGGCUUACAGAGUUCGUAGGCGGUCUGGAAAGUUGGGUGUGAAAUCCCUCGGCUCAACCGAGGAACUGCGCUUGAUACUGCCAGACUCGAGGGAGAUAGAGGAAAGCGGAACUGAUGGUGGAGCGGUGAAAUGCGUUGAUAUCAUCAGGAACACCGGUGGCGAAGGCGGCUUUCUGGGUCUUACCUGACGCUGAGGAACGAAAGCUAGGGGAGCGAACGGG
rnacentral:rRNA from 1 species